rnacentral:rRNA from 1 species
AUUGCCUUGGCGCUGCUACACAUGCAGUCGAACGGGAUCCAUCAGGCUUUGCUUGGUGGUGAGAGUGGCGAACGGGUGAGUAAUGCGUGACCGACCUGCCCCAUACACCGGAAUAGCUCCUGGAAACGGGUGGUAAUGCCGGAUGCUCCGACUCCUCGCAUGGGGUGUCGGGAAAGAUUUCAUCGGUAUGGGAUGGGGUCGCGUCCUAUCAGGUAGUCGGCGGGGUAACGGCCCACCGAGCCUACGACGGGUAGCCGGCCUGAGAGGGCGACCGGCCACAUUGGGACUGAGAUACGGCCCAGACUCCUACGGGAGGCAGCAGUGGGGAAUAUUGCACAAUGGGCGCAAGCCUGAUGCAGCGACGCCGCGUGCGGGAUGACGGCCUUCGGGUUGUAAACCGCUUUUGAUCGGGAGCAAGCCUUCGGGUGAGUGUACCUUUCGAAUAAGCACCGGCUAACUACGUGCCAGCAGCCGCGGUAAUACGUAGGGUGCAAGCGUUAUCCGGAAUUAUUGGGCGUAAAGGGCUCGUAGGCGGUUCGUCGCGUCCGGUGUGAAAGUCCAUCGCUUAACGGUGGAUCUGCGCCGGGUACGGGCGGGCUGGAGUGCGGUAGGGGAGACUGGAAUUCCCGGUGUAACGGUGGAAUGUGUAGAUAUCGGGAAGAACACCAAUGGCGAAGGCAGGUCUCUGGGCCGUUACUGACGCUGAGGAGCGAAAGCGUGGGGAGCGAACAGGAUUAGAUACCCUGGUAGUCCACGCCGUAAACGGUGGAUGCUGGAUGUGGGGCCCGUUCCACGGGUUCCGUGUCGGAGCUAACGCGUUAAGCAUCCCGCCUGGGGAGUACGGCCGCAAGGCUAAAACUCAAAGAAAUUGACGGGGGCCCGCACAAGCGGCGGAGCAUGCGGAUUAAUUCGAUGCAACGCGAAGAACCUUACCUGGGCUUGACAUGUUCCCGACAGCCGUAGAGAUAUGGCCUCCCUUCGGGGCGGGUUCACAGGUGGUGCAUGGUCGUCGUCAGCUCGUGUCGUGAGAUGUUGGGUUAAGUCCCGCAACGAGCGCAACCCUCGCCCUGUGUUGCCAGCACGUCAUGGUGGGAACUCACGGGGGACCGCCGGGGUCAACUCGGAGGAAGGUGGGGAUGACGUCAGAUCAUCAUGCCCCUUACGUCCAGGGCUUCACGCAUGCUACAAUGGCCGGUACAACGGGAUGCGACACGGCGACGUGGAGCGGAUCCCUGAAAACCGGUCUCAGUUCGGAUUGGAGUCUGCAACCCGACUCCAUGAAGGCGGAGUCGCUAGUAAUCGCGGAUCAGCAACGCCGCGGUGAAUGCGUUCCCGGGCCUUGUACACACCGCCCGUCAAGUCAUGAAAGUGGGUAGCACCCGAAGCCGGUGGCCUAACCCUUUGUGGAUGGAGCCGUCUAAGUAGACUUCGC